rnacentral:rRNA from 1 species
GGGACACGUGAAACCCUGUGGGAAGCAGGAGGGACCACCCUCCAAGGCUAAAUACUACCUAGUGACCGAUAGCGUAUAGUACCGUGAGGGAAAGGUGAAAAGAACCCCGGGAGGGGAGUGAAAUAGAACCUGAAACCCUGCACUUACAAGCUGUGGAAGCACAUUUCUUGUGUGACCGCGUACUUUUUGUAGAACGGGCCAACGAGUUACGUUAAGUAGCAAGGUUAAGCACUUAAGGUGCGGAGCCGUAGCGAAAGCGAGUUUUAACUGAGCGUUCAGUUACUUGACGUAGACCCGAAACCGGGCGACCUACCCAUGAGCAGGAUGAAGCGAAAGUAAAAUUUCGUGGAGGUCCGAACCCACGAGCGUUGAAAAGCUCGGGGAUGACUUGUGGGUAGCGGUGAAAUUCCAAUCGAGCCCGGAGAUAGCUGGUUCUCCCCGAAAUAGCUUUAGGGCUAGCCUCAAGGUGAGAGAUACGGAGGUAGAGCACUGAAUGUCCUAGGGGGUAUUGCACCUACCGAAGACUAUCAAACUCCGAAUGCCGUCAUCUUAUACUUGGGAGUCAGACUGUGGGUGAUAAGAUUCAUAGUCGAAAGGGCAACAGCCCAGAUCGUCAGCUAAGGUCCCUAAAUGUAAGUUAAGUGGUAAAGGAUGUGGGAUUGCACAGACAACCAGGAUGUUGGCUUAGAAGCAGCCACUCAUUCAAAGAGUGCGUAAUAGCUCACUGGUCGAGUGAUCCUGCGCCGAAGAUUUCCGGGGCUAAAACUUACUACCGAAGCUACGGCAUCAGUAAUGAUGGGUAGGGGAGCUUCCCAUACGGGUUGAAGCAUGACCGUAAGGACAUGUGGACAGUAUGGGAGUGAGAAUGUUGGCAUGAGUAGCGAGAUGUGGGUGAGAAUCCCACAGGCCGUAAACCCAAGGUUUCCAGGGGAAGGUUCGUCCGCCCUGGGUUAGUCGGGACCUAAGCUGAGGCCGAAAGGCGUAGGUGAUGGACAACAGGUUGAUAUUCCUGUAC